rfam:Echinostoma caproni strain Egypt genome assembly, scaffold: ECPE_scaffold0009322
GGCCUCGUAACUCAGCUGGUAGAGCGUGCGCGUACAUAGCGUAGGCGGCGUCCAUGCGUGGGUUCGAAUCCAACCGAGGCUA